rnacentral:rRNA from 1 species
UGAGGAAUAUUGGUCAAUGGGUGCAAGCCUGAACCAGCCAUCCCGCGUGAAGGACGACUGCCCUAUGGGUUGUAAACUUCUUUUGUAUAGGGAUAAACCUACCCUCGUGAGGGUAGCUGAAGGUACUAUACGAAUAAGCACCGGCUAACUCCGUGCCAGCAGCCGCGGUAAUACGGAGGGUGCAAGCGUUAUCCGGAUUUAUUGGGUUUAAAGGGUCCGUAGGCGGACUUAUAAGUCAGUGGUGAAAGCCUGUCGCUUAACGAUAGAACUGCCAUUGAUACUGUAAGUCUUGAGUAUAUUUGAGGUAGCUGGAAUAAGUAGUGUAGCGGUGAAAUGCAUAGAUAUCACUUAGAACACCAAUUGCGAAGGCAGGUUACCAAGAUAUAACUGACGCUGAGGGACGAAAGCGUGGGGAGCGAACA